CUUUGAAGCAAUCCGAGAACCGUAAUAUGUGUCCAUUCCUCAAUUAUUUAUAUUCCAAAUGUCCGUGAGAAUCCACUGAUCAAAAGCAUCCACAUGGUUUUUCAUAAAAUUAUUCCAGCUUGUGAAUAUUGUCGUGUAAAGUCCAUUUGUUUACCAUCUCCAAACUUUGUUCGUCAACUAACAUCCAGCUUUUCAAUGCCGCAUGGAUAUUUUCUCUACCUCCAGUAUGGAGUUGUUGGGCGUGUCCAGGUGUGAUACGUAUGAGCCGAGAUAUACAGCUGCGUCAUCACGGCAGACAACUCGCUUUGCGCAUGACAGAGCCUCCAGCGGACCAGGACGCACGCCGCACACAUUGAUCACAUUGAUUUCGCCGUUUACAAUGGCGAAAUCAACGAAGAAAACGAAAUAUUACACACAUGAAGAAGCCCUCGCUUUGAUUUUGGCUUCAUCCGAGGACAGCGAAGACAGCCAAUAUGAUUCUGAGAUAGAGGAGAUGUUCAAGCAACAAUUGGACGAAGUCUUAGAUCGGUCAAUGUCUGAGGACAGUGAUGCGGAUUGGGAGCCGCAAAGCCAGACAGGCAGACCCCGCCCCCACUCCUACUGAAGGUGGUCGUGAGAGAUCCGGUAGUGUCUCAUCACAUGACAAUAUCUCAAUAUGGCCAUAUCAAAUGAAUGUGUGAAAAAAUUAUGUUUUGAAUCAUGGAGAAAGGUUUUAUAGUCACCAAAAUGCUUCAGUAAUGUUUCCAGUGUCACAGAAGUGAGUAAAUGCAUUUGGCACAAUUUGGCCAUUUUGGAGACAUUUUGGAGAGGUUUGGGCCGCCAGUGACCACACACCAUAAAAACUCCAUUAACUCCCAAAGCUUUAGGCCUAGAACUCCAAAUUUUUUUCCAGGUGUAGUUGGCAUGAUGUAGAAGGUAUUUGGCAUAUUGCCAUAUGCCUUACAUAAAGCACAUCCUAGUUAUUGUAGUUCAAAUAUGAC
ensembl:lncRNA